GUGUCUUCAUGUGAGGAAGAAAUAUUUGCCAUUUGUUUACGAGACGCUGACUUGAUGGUGUAUUCCAAAUUCAUUACGGCAUUGAGGUGUCGAUCUACAUUUUCAGCUAUUAAAUGUAAUUGGCAAUCUGGCAUAUAAUUUCACUUGGCCAAAUAAUGUGACCACUUUGGUCGAAACUGCCGUCCAUUUUGUCGAAAUGUCGGCCAUUGUUAGCUGUACGUCUCAUCUCGUGCUGUAACACUUCAGAGCUAUUGAUUUUCCGGUCGGAGAUGGAGAUCCCUUUGCUCAACUGUUGCAGAGAUUGAGGACAUGACAAAGUCUGAGCUUCAUGGAUGUUGUAUCUUUAACAUGGUUUUGUUGCAGCCAGCUGGCGAGAAUAAUGUGUGUGAGUCCAAUUGAGCUGCAGGCCUGCAGCUGCUGCAUGCAGUUUAUCGAGCUAGUGUUAAAACAAGUGUCACUGCAGAAAACUUCUUAAAAUGGAGUUCAUGGGAGCUGUUUGUGGUGUUGCUUUUUGGUGUACAGUGGUUUUGCAGUCCCUUUCCAGUUGAGAGAUGCUCUGAAAUGGAGCUUGUGCAGACUUGCAGUUCAACAUCAUACUGAGAUGUGUCAUUUGUCUAUGUUGGUGUCCAUGCAGUGUUGAACAGUUGGUUGAAAUAGUCUAUCGCCACAGAUGGUAACAAAAAUCUUUGAGCGGUGCCCUUAAAGAUGUCCACGAGCACGUAAUGCUGUUCCGCAACAUCGAUGGCGGUAACAUAGGCCGAGUCCUCCCUAAAUAUUUAAGCUAAUCGACUUCCGAGAAGGUGAAAGCGCAAGGUGUCAAUGUGUUGUCCAAAGCUAAUGUUGAGGGUGCAAUUUUGGAAGACUACAAGGUCGCAUUGACCUUAAACGAUGGUCAAAAGAUUUAAACUGACCAUGUCGUUGCUGUUGUCGGUUGGGACGCAAACUUCACGGAUUUGGCUGUCGUUUCUGGUUCGGAAAUAGAUUCCAAUUUUGGUGGUUAUCGAGUAAAUACCGAGCUUGAAGCACGAUCGAUCGUCGGGUUGGUAAGAAUUCUUGAACAUUUUAUUUCAUAUAAAUUGCUGGAGAUGUUACGUCUUUUUGUGAUAUCAAAUUGGGUUGUCGUCGUACGGAACAUCAUCACUUUGCUGUUGUAUCAGGGCGAUUGCUGGAGAGAACAAUACUGGCAACGAAACAUGGAUGAACAACUGCAGUGCACUGUCCCCAAGUUCAUUCUUCGUCGUAUUAUCAGUACGCAAUCGGUGUCGUGCUGUUGCCGUUUGUCGUAUCGUUGAAGGUUGGGUCGAUCACUGGUGUACUCGUGGCUCCUGGGUAUGGCGGAUACCAAAGCACCACGCCGCCGCCUUGCUACACAACGACAACAUUCGCACCAACCGGUUACUACACUGAGGACCACAAUUACUACACCACCAAGGCUCUAGAGUAUUACACCGCAGCUAAUGCUGCCCCGAGUUAAAUCACCAAAGAUCCUGAGUAUUACACCGCAGCUAAUUCUGCCCCGAGUUAAAUCACCAAA
rnacentral:lncRNA from 1 species